rnacentral:ncRNA from 1 species
AAACACAUGUGGGGGAAUCGGUGUUGCCGAUUGAGAGAAUAUCCGUGAGAUAUUGACCCUUGGAACCUGAACUGGCUAAUACCAGCGGAGGGAACAUAUUCAAAUCGGUC